rnacentral:rRNA from 1 species
CCUACGGGAGGCAGCAGUAAGGAAUAUUGGUCAAUGGACGAGAGUCUGAACCAGCCAAGUAGCGUGAAGGAUGACUGCCCUAUGGGUUGUAAACUUCUUUUAUAUGGGAAUAAAAUGUUCCACGUGUGGGAUUUUGUAUGUACCAUAUGAAUAAGGAUCGGCUAACUCCGUGCCAGCAGCCGCGGUAAUACGGAGGAUCCGAGCGUUAUCCGGAUUUCUUGGGUGUAAAGGGAGCGUAGGUGGAUUGUUAAGUCAGUUGUGAAAGUUUGCGGCUCAACCGUAAAAUUGCAGUUGAAACUGGCAGUCUUGAGUACAGUAGAGGUGGGCGGAAUGCGUGGUGUAGCGGUGAAAUGCUUAGAGAUCACGAAGAACUCCGAUUGCGAAGGCAGCUCACUGGACUGCAACUGACACUGAGGCUCGAAAGUGUGGGUAUCAAACAGGAUUAGAUACCCCUGUAGUC